rnacentral:lncRNA from 1 species
CAGAGCUGGAGCCCGGUCUUGCCAGGCACUUAAGAGGAAGAGCUGAGCAAUAGGAUGAAGCAUAUGCUUGUCCUGAUGUACAAGCAACCAGGAUUUGCUCUUACUACUCUGGGAUUAAUGAACCUGACUAUCGUAUUCUGGAGAGCGUUUACUGCCAUGCCCACUAAAAUUACUUCAAGGCUCCAGUACUCACCAGAAGUGUUUACAUCAAGCACUGGAAACGAGCUCUGCAGCAGCCUGGUGACAGUGCAGCAGGAAUCUGAAAAUAGAACAAGGCAGAAAUCUUUGCAGCCCCCUGCCCAGCUGUAAGGUUGUGUCACACUCCAGUGUCAGCAGCUGCUGCGGCUUUCUGAAAGGUCUUGAGGGUUUGGGAGCUAUUUUCUGGUAAGAAAACACACCCAGAAAAUAUCAGUUUGACAAUUUUGUAGGCUUUCCGCAUGAAACCUGGAGACCCCCUGAGCAUAGUCUGCAAGCCCAGCCAUUUUUUUUUCGACAAGUCCUACUAUGUGUUUGCAGGUCAUCAUCCCUGAUGUUUUUGACACUGGGAGUUCUUUAGGAGUCUCUCAUGGUGUUUUGGGAAGCUGAUGCAGCAGACGAAAAGUGUAGGCUGCUCCAGCACAGCGAUUCAGUACAGUAAAAUUAAUGAUGAGAAAUGACAGCUAAAUGGACAGAGCUUAUGAGAUGGAAAAUACAGGCUUAUAGCAAUCAUCACUGCUGUCAAAUGUUCUGCAUCAAGCUACAGUACUGUAAACAAACCUUUUCCCCAAACCCUGCUUGUCUCUGUGCAUGUUUUGCCUAUUUCUGCUACCUCCUCUGAUGCUCUUUGCAGCAUGGCACAUGAUAUUACUGAGUAAUGGCGGGAGACAUUUGGCUCCAGCAAAGGACAGAAAUCCAAGCUUGACUUUCUUCCCUUGCGUUGUCACUUUGCCUGUAUCAGAUGAGUGCACUGAUUGAAAAAUAAUUAUGAUUGGCAUUAAUGGCAGAAGCUGAACUGAUGCAAGCUAAAUCAAUAGAAACAUAGGUUAAAAGAGCUUCA